rnacentral:rRNA from 1 species
AACGAACGCUGGCGGCAUGUCUAACACAUGCAAGUCGAACGAGACCUUCGGGUCUAGUGGCGCACGGGUGCGUAACGCGUGGGAACCUGCCCUUAGGUUCGGAAUAACUCCCCGAAAGGGGUGCUAAUACCGGAUAAUGUCUUCGGACCAAAGAUUUAUCGCCUUUGGAUGGGCCCGCGUUGGAUUAGCUAGUUGGUAGGGUAAAAGCCUACCAAGGCGACGAUCCAUAGCUGGUCUGAGAGGAUGAUCAGCCACACUGGGACUGAGACACGGCCCAGACUCCUACGGGAGGCAGCAGUGGGGAAUAUUGGACAAUGGGCGAAAGCCUGAUCCAGCAAUGCCGCGUGAGUGAUGAAGGCCUUAGGGUUGUAAAGCUCUUUUACCCGGGAUGAUAGUGACAGUACCGGGAGAAUAAGCUCCGGCUAACUCCGUG